GGAUUGGCGGCUGCUUAACAUGCAGUCGAACGGUAACAGGGAGCUUGCUCCGCUGACGAGUGGCGAACGGGUGAGUAAUACAUCGGAACGUGCCCAGUAAUGGGGGAUAGCUCGGCGAAAGCCGGAUUAAUACCGCAUACGCCCUGAGGGGGAAAGUGGGGGACCGCAAGGCCUCACGUUAUUGGAGCGGCCGAUGGCUGAUUAGCUAGUUGGUAGGGUAAAGGCCUACCAAGGCGACGAUCAGUAGCUGGUCUGAGAGGACGAUCAGCCACACUGGGACUGAGACACGGCCCAGACUCCUACGGGAGGCAGCAGUGGGGAAUUUUGGACAAUGGGGGAAACCCUGAUCCAGCAAUGCCGCGUGUGCGAAGAAGGCCUUCGGGUUGUAAAGCACUUUUGUCAGGGAAGAAAUCCUUUGGGCUAAUACCCUAGGGGGAUGACGGUACCUGAAGAAUAAGCACCGGCUAACUACGUGCCAGCAGCCGCGGUAAUACGUAGGGUGCAAGCGUUAAUCGGAAUUACUGGGCGUAAAGCGUGCGCAGGCGGUUGUGUAAGACAGGUGUGAAAUCCCCGGGCUUAACCUGGGAAUUGCAUUUGUGACUGCACGACU
rnacentral:rRNA from 1 species